AUCUCUUCUUAGCCUUUUGCCUAAGAUCAAGUGUAGUAUCUGUUAACAUCCUUUCAGUAAAGGUAUUAAAUAACAGCGGAGAGGAAUGCCUUCAGUUUCUCUUUUGUUACUACUUGAAACAAAAUACAUCCAUUGCAGUAUGUAUUAAUAUUAGUAUGCUAC
rnacentral:sRNA from 1 species